GUAUAAGUAUAUUAGUUUCUCUAAAACAUGAAGCUCAAUGUUGAAAAUCAACCUGAGGCAUUUCUGGGGAUUGAGAAGAUUUAUGAAAGAGGAGUUUCUGAUUAUCUGUCUGUCUCACUUUGGUGUGACUGCUUGAGAUUUGUGCAAGAAUAUGAUCCAUCUGUACAUGAAUUUUCACCUGAUGGUAUUGCAAAGGGAAGAAAUCUCUUCGAGCAUG